GAAAUCUAUACUAUCACAAGUUUUUUGCUGUUUCCC
rnacentral:sRNA from 1 species